CGUAGGCGUUUCGAAAAUGAAUCAAAACUUUCAACAACGGAUCUCUUGGUUCUGGCAUCGAUGAAGAACGCAGCGAAAUGCGAUAAGUAAUGUGAAUUGCAGAAUUCAGUGAAUCAUCGAAUCUUUGAACGCACAUUGCGCCCGCCAGUAUUCUGGCG
rnacentral:rRNA from 1 species